rnacentral:misc_RNA from 1 species
CUGAGUCUAGGGUCCUUUGGGCCCGAACCUCCCAACCCUUUGUUUAUUGAACCUAUGUUGCUUCGGCGGGUCCGUCUUCUCACGAGGACCGCCGAUGGCCCAUUUCAAAACUCUUAUCUAAAUCGUGUCGUCUGUCUGAAUGUCAUCAAAAGCAAAUAAAUGCA